AAUCCGUUGGUUUUAUAGAUCGUGAGGGUUCAAGUCC
rnacentral:tRNA from 1 species